ACAAAAACCCUAGAAGAAAACCUAGGCAAUACCAUUCAGGACAUAGGCAUGGGCAAGGACUUCAUGUCUAAAACACCAAAAGCAAUGGCAACAAAAGCCAAAAUCGACAAAUGGGAUCUAAUUAAACUAAGGAGCUUCUGCACAGCAAAAGAAACUACCAUCAGAGUGAACAGGCAACCUACAGAAUGGGAGAAAAUUUUUGCAAACUACUCAUCUGACAAUGGGCUAAUGUCCAGAAUCUACAAUGAACUCAAACAAAUUUACACGAAAAGAACAAAAAACCCCAUCAAAAUGUGGGCGAAGGAUAUGAACAGACACUCCUCAAAAGAAGACAUUCAUGCAGCCAAAAAACACAUGAAAAAAUGCUCAUCAUCACUGGCCAUCAGAGAAAUGCAAAUCAAAACCACAAUGAGAUACCAUCUCAUAUAAGGCUUGCUUAUAUCAGACCUACUCAAUUUUAUUUGUUCAAAAACAAUAAGGAACUAGAAACAUAUAUGCAGAGCUAGCUUUAUGUGUAAACGACCCCACACUCAGAAGAAAUCAAAGCUCGGUUCAGUGCUCUGUUGUAGUCCUGAAAUUCUUAAUAAUUUUGAACAAGGCUCUGAGUUCAUGCACAAGGCUCUUCAAAUUAAGCAGCCACUCCUGCACUAUAUAAGAUGAAGCUUGGCUGUUGAAUUCUUUAUUUUUACUUCCCCUGCAAUUGGUUCUUUUCCAGCUGCCUUUUUUUUUUUAGAGCAAGGAAGAACAGUUGACACAUGAGAUAAAAUGCAGGUGCCUGGAAUCCUUUAGACCAUCGCAACAGUCUUAUCAGGGAUCCAACUUUAAAUAACACCUCUUAGGAAUGAUAAAAGCCUAAAACAAUGUUUUGGCAAUUCCAAUACUAAGAAAAAGUUUAGCUUCUCUUAGUAACAGGUGUUUUCUACCAUGAAUUCUGAGUUGCCCACAGUGGAAUCCCUUUCUCUUACACAGCCUUACCAGAGCUUUUUUUUUUUUUUUUCUAGGUGGAGUCUCACUCUGUUGCCAGACUGGAGUGCACUGGCACAAUCUCGACUCACUGCAAUCUCCGCCUCCCGGGUUGAAGCAAUUCCCCUGCCUCAGCCUCCCAAGUAGCUGGGACUAUAGGAUCUUAGAAAUUGAGUUAUCUGGUUUAUUAAAUACUCCGAUUCAAGAGGCCAAUAUUGACGUAUAAUCUGGUAAAGAGAAGACAAGGACAUUCUACGUGGUUGGUGGGAAGCAGACAGCAGGAGGGAAGGUGGGUAAAAAAACGUGCUGCAGUAUCCAGUGACCACCUGAAGAGCAGAAGUUUUCUUUCUCCCAAUAACUAGCUAAUUCUUGGUGGGAAUGGUCCACGCUUCAACUUCCCUAGUUUUAGAAACAUUUUUCUUCUUUGUGUUUACUGGAUAUGUGUUAUAAAAUGAUUUAUGUCCUCCCACCUCAAGUCAUAGGUUGAAGCUCUAACCCACAAUGUGAUUACAUUUGGAAAUAGGGCCAGUAGAAAGGUAAAUAGGCACAAAUGAGGUCAUGAGGAUGGAGCUCUAAUCCAAUAGGACUGGUGUCCUUAUAAGAAGAGGAGGAGAUUCCAGACCUCUUUCUCUCUCCACUCACACGCAGCGAAAAAGGCUACACAGUGAGAAGGCAGCUGUCUGCAAGCCAGGAAAAGAGGCCUCAGCAGAAACCAACUCUGCCAGCACCCUGAUCUUGAACUUCCAGGCUUCAGAACUGAGUUUGUGACAACAAUGUGAUAAUCAGAGCUACUGAAAAAACAAAAGGUGAAUUACAAUACACUGGGAAUCUCCUGUAUUGGAUCAGAAACAAACGGAGUCAGAUGCUGCAGAGCCCAGUGAUUGUGUGGAUAUAUACAGAUGACUUAAAGAUUUAAAACUACUUGGCUUUAAACAGACGGAGUCUCGUUCUGUCGCCCAGGAUGGAAUUGCAAUGGCGUGAUCUCGGCUUACUGCAACCUCCGCCUCCCGAGUUCAAGCAAUUCUCCUGUCUCCGCCUCCAGAGUAGCUGGGAUUACAGGUGAAUGCUGCACACCCAGGGUUUCACCAUGUUGCCCAGGCUGGUCUCAAACUCCUGAGCUCAGGGAAUCCACCAACCUCAGCCUCCCAAAGUGCUAGGAUUACAAGUGUGAGUCACUGUGCCCAGCCAAUUCCAUCUUUUAAAGUUGGCUUGUUUCACUAAAAUAUUGUCACUAAAAUAGCCUGUAUACAUAUAGCUUAUCAUAGGGUUUGCAAAUUUAUAUGUCUAUAAAAGCCCUAUGCAAAAGAAAACAAUAUGAUCGAGACAAUAUGGAGUGUUGGGGACUGUGACAAAAUUGGGAACCACUGCCCUAUCUUGAAGAACCUUCUCCUGCUUAUCUCCAACUGACCUGAAAAAUGUAUGUCCAGCAGAGCUGAGUCUUGUACUUUUAUUUUAAAGGGUACCCUGGAAACACAGAUAUUUAUGCCAAAAUCUUCUAAUUUUUUAAAUACUAUCAACUAACUCUAAGUAAUAUUAAAACACCAUGCAGGUCAAAUGUGAUAUAUUUGCAGGCCAGAUCAAGUCAGCAGUUUGGAACUGCUGACAUAUGUUACUGCAGAAUGUGUUCUGUUCUUCCUCUCUGCUACAUGUCAUUCUACUCCCAAUUACCUUCCACCUUACUCUCUCUGCUCCAAACUUUUUUUUUUUUUUUGAGAUGGAGACUCAGUCUGUCACCCAGGCUGCAGUGUAGUGGUGCGAUCUCGUCUCACUGCAACCUCUGCCUCCUGGAUUCAAGCGAUCCUUGUGCCUCAGUCUCCCGAGUAGCUGGGAUUACAGGUACCUGCCAUAAUGCACAGCUAAUUUUUGUAUUUUUAGUAAAGAUGGGGUUUUGCCAUAUUGGCCAGGCUGGUCUCAAACUCCUGACCUCAAGGGAUCCACCCACCUCGGCCUCCCAAAGUACUGGGAUUACAGGUGUAAGCCACCAUGCCCAGCCCCAAACUUCUUUUAGCUCCUUGAAUACCCCACUCUCUUUGGAACCUCCAAACUCUUGAGAAUGCUGUUUGUUACCUCUGACUGAAACUCUUUUGUCCUCUCUUCUAUCCUUUGAUCUCUCAAUUGUCACUUCUUCCAAAAAACUUUCUCUGGAAUCCUAAGUCUGGGUUAAAUAUGACGCCUCUGUGUAUUUUUUGAAAAAAAAAAAAAAAAAAAAUAGAAGAAACAAAGAAACAAACAAAAA